rnacentral:ncRNA from 1 species
AAUUAAGCGUUGAUAAAGAGAGUAGCUAUGAAAAUCUUUUUAGGGAGAGGAAACCUAGACUGGAAGUUUUCUUAAAGAAAGUUAUAGUGAAGUUCACUUUGGAGCUCUAGCUGUGAAAUUUAAAUUUAAGGAAUUUUAACAAAAGUAGUAGCUAGCGGAUUAAGCCGUUAUUUAAAUUAAGAGAACAAAAGAUAUAUAAAACUUAAAAUAAAUGUUUUUUGUUAAUUAGGGUGGUAACACGGAAAAAACCCCGUCCCUUUU